rnacentral:rRNA from 1 species
GAUGAACGCUGGCGGCGUGCCUAAUACAUGCAAGUCGAGCGAACAGACGAGGAGCUUGCUCCUCUGACGUUAGCGGCGGACGGGUGAGUAACACGUGGAUAACCUACCUAUAAGACUGGGAUAACUUCGGGAAACCGGAGCUAAUACCGGAUAAUAUAUUGAACCGCAUGGUUCAAUAGUGAAAGACGGUUUUGCUGUCACUUAUAGAUGGAUCCGCGCCGCAUUAGCUAGUUGGUAAGGUAACGGCUUACCAAGGCAACGAUGCGUAGCCGACCUGAGAGGGUGAUCGGCCACACUGGAACUGAGACACGGCCCAGCCUCCAAGGGGAGCCAGCGGAAGGAAAUCUUCCGCAAUGGGCGAAGGCCUACCGGGGAAACGCGGCGUGAUGAAGGAGGUUCUUCGAAUCGUAAAACUCUGUUUUAGGGGAAAAACAAAUGUGUAGGUACCGAUGCACGUCUUGACGGUACCAAUCAGAAAGCCACGGCUAACUACGUG